AUGGGCAAGAGAGCUUUGGAACUGGGACAAAGGAUGGGAAUAUCUCAGUGUCUGAAUAGACGGAUGCUAGCCACAACCUUGCAAGGACACCACCGUGGCUCGGCAACACACUUUCAGGCUUGCCUCUCACUCUCUACGCAGCCACUCUCCAGUGGAUGUUAUUAUUGUGGUUACUCCAUGGAGUGGACUGCUAGAACCUUCUUGUUGUUGUUACUCCAUGAGUAUGACCUUUGCAUCGAGCCUUUUCUCCUAAAAACACCACACCGUCCUUUUGUUGUGUACUCUCAUUUGGUUUCUUUGUGCAACAUUGCCUAUUCAAGCAUUGGCAAGUGCAGUCAAUGA
rnacentral:rRNA from 1 species